GCAUUUCCAGCUAUUUUCUCUGCACCGAAAGUCACUCCACCGUGAGCUUCCCCUUUCUCUCCUCUAGCUUCCUUCCAGGGAUGGAAGGCUGUCUAAGCUAGAUAUCACAUCCACCGAAAGCUCUUCCUCCACCUAAAUCAACCACUAAAUCCACUGAACCACGUUUCUUCCGCUGCUAGUUGCAUUUAGUGAGCAUAUUUCACCUCUGCUCAUGGAUUCAUCACCCAUUCGGCUGCUUCAAUAUCUCCCAUGGCUGGAACGUACUCUAUCAGGUGGUAUUCAGAGCCUAGGUUGCUCACGGUGCUGUGGUUGUUCCAGCUAAGUUGUUUUCAUUUCACUCCAUACUGUCAUCAACAUUUCUUUCGUGAUCUGCAUUCUGUUUUCACUGUUCUAUUACUUUGUUUGUUUCAGUAGAUUCAUUCGUGUAAUUUUCUUGUGUGCCAACCUUUCUUUGAUAGUUCUUUUUAUCAUUUUAAUUGGUCAAAUCUGAUUUCAAUCAUUUUAAUUUUUUGCAAUAUGUUUCCGUCAUGUCUAGUCAUGUUCAUGUGGUUUAAAAUUUUGUAAAAUUCCGGUGUUAUUCUGUGCUUGGGUAAAUCUGUAUAGCUGGAUUGGUUUUUCAAAAGAUGAACAUCACAAGAGGAAUGAUGAAAGAGCUCAGUGCAUCUUGAACUACAAUUCAGUGUAGUACCAGUUAUUAAAAACUGCCUUGAAUCUGAUUUGAUGUCUUUUAAAACUGCACUAUGUGAAGUUGAAUCUGGAAUGUGAUUACGCUGCUGUAAAAAUAAUGUGUGCAUACCAUAUGAACAGUAAAUUGUCCAAGACAAUUAAUCUGGUGGCAUCAUUUUACAGAAUCUAGAAUUCAAUGUUUCAGCAGCUUGACCAAACUGCACCAAUCUUUGCUUGAGUCCUUUUGGUUUUAAAUCUGUUUCAGUAUAGAAUUCAUUGCUGAACAUUCUUAAAGUCAUUUCUAGAGUCUUGUUUAAAUCUGUUUUGCUGUUUAGAGUCACCAAAAUUUGUUUCAUAGCAGUUUGAAUAUUAUGCUGCAUUUUGGCUAGUGUAUUGGAUCAACUUUUGAGUGAUAUGAGCAACUUAUAUAGUGAAAUUUUGAUCUGACAAUUUUUAGCCUUUGCUGGCCAUUUGCAUCUGUCAUAUUUGGCAAAAUAAAUUUGCUCAAAUCGUCAUAUUAGUGAUCCAAAAACAUUUGACUCCUUUGUUGAGAUUUGGUUGGUAAUUUGACCUGUUUUUGGUGAUUAAGAGCAACUGAUAUAGCCAAAUUUCGAUUUACAUGUUUUUAGCCUCUGCUGGCUGUUGAAACAAGUCAUAAUUGGAGAAAUAAAGUUGCUCCAAUCAUAAUUUUGAGUGUCUAAAUUGAUCUGUGCAAAUUUGCCAAUCCAACCACCAAUUUUCAACACUUUUUUCUUCAAAUAAGUUGCAGAAUUCUGGUUUUGAUUGUUUCAUGAGAUGAAAGCACCGAAUUAUAUCUUAAAUUGGUAGCAAAAGCUUGGUUCAAUUGUUAAAAAGAAGUGUAUCUCUCAAAAUAAAAAAAAAGGACUGUAGAGAAAACAAAAAGCUGUUUGAACCGUGCCAAGUUAAGUGCCAAAACUGGUGCAUCACAGAUUUCUCUUAGGCAUUACAUCAAACACUUUUGCCUAUUUUACAAAUGAGUUCGAAUUGAGUGUUUCUGCAACUUAUAUGAGUUUAUUGCUUGCUAAAUCCACUCUAGAGCCUAUCCUAAGAUCAUUUUGAGUGCCACCCUUCUUUGCAAACCGUUUAAUUGAUAGAUUUUUAUUGUUUGAAAAUUUUGCACAUAAGCUGUUUGAUAAAAAUCCAGUUGUGCAUUCUGGUCUGCGAAAUUUCUGGCAGCAGCAGAGUUGCUUUCCUGUUCUUGAAAUUGAUUGAUGGUGGUUCCUUUGAGCUCUUUGUUGGGUGCAGAAUCAUCUCAGGUGGUACUACAUCACUGGUAGCCUCUUAGGAAGUGGAGAGUAAGUGGAAAACUCAAGUUUGGAAGCUAAUGUCGGAGCAGCAGGGUUCCUUAUCUUGGACUGCAAUUUUUGUUUGCUGUCAUAGCAUAAGUCUUUACACCAGCAGCUAUGAGAUUAGUGUGAAUCACUCCAGAUUCAUUUCCUUGAGAUGAACAUUGAACUACAAAAGGCACAAACACCCUGCAGCUGAGAGUUUUGAAUUUACUGCAUAUUAACAGUCCUUUCUUUAUUGAGAAUCCAGAGCUGCAAUGUCCAAAGCCUUUUCUUUUGAUUUGUUUGCCAGAUUUGUAAAAUCCUAAUCAGCUUUUGGAAACAAAUCACCUGCACUGAUUUCAGUUUAUUGGUUAACAAUUUGUUUUAUUGAUUCUUUUGUGUGCAGAAUUAGAAUUUGGCUUGACCAAGGGGUAGCAAGUUGUGACUGUUGAAUCAAUGCUCACCUGCCGCAGUUGAAACUGGAUGAACACCAUCUUUGAUUAUCAACAUUGUCCAAGAAUCAGUGACUGUUUGACCAAAGUNGUUUAAACCACAAGCUGCAUUACAUCGGUUUUGCAGAGAAUUUAAGGCCAUUGAAUUCACUUACUAUUUUGCUGAUUUAAUAAUAAUUCUGCCAUCCUUGCUGAAAUUGUUGUGUUAUUCUUUUGUGCAGAUUGUUAUGGACAAAUUGAAAGUAAUGCAAUCUUGUCAAGUAUAGUUAAAAUUUGGUUUGAUUAGAAUUGAAAAGNCUUGAACAGCAGAUUGCAAUUUGAGAAGCAAAUUGGAUCCAUCUUCCACAACAAUUACAGUCAAACCGAGAAAGGAAGAGUGGAAUCCAAAAGCUAGGCGAUUCCAAAGUUGUCCAAAGCUGUCNAACAAUUGGAUUUAAAUGAAAUCAGAACGUGACAGUAGCAAUUGUUAGCUUUCUUUUGUAAUUGUUUUGUUCAUUUUGGUUAGGUUUUCUGUGUUAGAUUUCUUUAAAUUGUAAAAGGCCAUUCAAAGUCCAAGUUGUCUUGGAAGAGUCCUUGGUGCUCUUUCAACUCUUGGCAAAACUUUUCUUGUGUGUU
rnacentral:lncRNA from 1 species